GUGUGUAAGCGCAGCGAUGCGUUGAGCUAACCGGUACUAAUGAACCGUGAGGCUUAACCUUACAACGCCGAAGGGGUU
rnacentral:rRNA from 1 species